GAACGAAGCCUUCGGGCUUAGUGGCGCACGGGUGCGUAACGCGUGGGAAUCUGCCCUUGGGUUCGGAAUAACACAGAGAAAUUUGUGCUAAUACCGGAUGAUGUCUUCGGACCAAAGAUUUAUCGCCCAAGGAUGAGCCCGCGUUAGAUUAGGUAGUUGGUGGGGUAAUGGCCUACCAAGCCGACGAUCUAUAGCUGGUCUGAGAGGAUGAUCAGCCACACUGGGACUGAGACACGGCCCAGACUCCUACGGGAGGCAGCAGUGGGGAAUAUUGGACAAUGGGCGAAAGCCUGAUCCAGCAAUGCCGCGUGAGUGAUGAAGGCCUUAGGGUUGUAAAGCUCUUUUACCAGGGAUGAUAAUGACAGUACCUGGAGAAUAAGCUCCGGCUAACUCCGUGCCAGCAGCCGCGGUAAUACGGAGGGAGCUAGCGUUGUUCGGAAUUACUGGGCGUAAAGCGCGCGUAGGCGGUUUUUCAAGUCAGAGGUGAAAGCCCGGGGCUCAACCCCGGAACUGCCUUUGAAACUGGAUGACUAGAAUCUUGGAGAGGCGAGUGGAAUUCCGAGUGUAGAGGUGAAAUUCGUAGAUAUUCGGAAGAACACCAGUGGCGAAGGCGACUCGCUGGAC
rnacentral:rRNA from 1 species